UGUUGUAUUUUAGAUUGCAAGCCCUUUGGGGACAGGGCUGAUGGAGUCACUUUAGGGUUGUAAGCCGGUAUUUUAGACUGUAAGGCCCACGCACGUGGAUGGUGAAAUCAUCAUAAAAAAAUCACGGGUUAUGGGAGGGGAGGAGCCUCGGAAUCUUAUCCACUGGAGGCUGAGCUAAACAGGACCCCCUUUCCUGAAGCCCCGAGGAAGUUCACGGGCGGAGCAGGGUGGAUUGUAAGGCUGGGUGGGGUUUGGGUGGGUUGGAGAAGACGCCCCGUUCUCCUCACCUGUCCGAGGCUGCUGCUGAGUUCGCUGUCCGAAGGGCGUUCUAGCCUGGAGGACGAGGAGGUGUUCCUCCUUUUCUCGGCGAAGGAGGGAACUUGGAGGCUCGGCGAUGCCUCGGACCGGGCUGCGGAAGCCAUGGCUCGGAAUGGUCCUGGCUGUCUUGAAUUCAAGCUUCAGCCGCAGCCACGGUGCCGAGCACCACUUCCACCCAGCUGGCAGGAGAGCAGACAACACAAGCUGGGCGCGGUUGCCAUGGCAGCGGGAGAAGCCAUCUACCUCUGGGCGCCCUGAGGGGAGGGGAAGAGGAGGGAGAUUAACUCCCAGCCAAGGGUGCGGGAGAGGGAACGAGGGAAGCCGCGCCGUUGGGAGCAGGAGCACUCUCCGAGCAGCCUCGUUCGAGCCUGCCACCGCCCCCUGAGGCAAGAAAGCAGCCGCUGCCCGGUCCCUGCGAUUAUGAAGCGGAAGGCUGUUGACUUCUCAGACAGCUGAUAAUUGGGUCUCAUCAUGGAACGAGGCAGCACCUGG